UACGGGGGGAGCAAGCGUUGUUCGGAUUUACUGGGCGUAAAGGGCGCGUAGGCGGUCAGCACAAGUCAGUUGUGAAAUCUCCGGGGCUUAACCGUAACGGAAGUCAACUGAUACUGUGCGACUAGAGUGCGGAAGGGGCAACUGGAAUUCGUCGGUGUAGCGGUGAAAUGCGUAGAUAUCGAGAGGAACACCUGCGGCGAAGGCGGGUUGCUGGGCCGACACUGACGCUGAUGCGCGAAAGCCAGGGGAGCGAACGGG
rnacentral:rRNA from 1 species